rnacentral:rRNA from 1 species
GAUGAACGCUAGCGGCAGGCUUAACACAUGCAAGUCGAGGGGUAUAUUUCUUCGGAGAUAGAGACCGGCGCACGGGUGCGUAACGCGUAUGCAAUCUACCUUUUGCAGAGGGAUAGCCCAGAGAAAUUUGGGAUUAAUACCUCAUAGUAUCUCGUUGUCGCAUGACAACAAGAUUAAAGUCACAACGGCAAAAGAUGAGC